UGCAGUCGAGCGGACUUAAAAAGCUUGCUUUUUAAGUUAGCGGCGGACGGGUGAGUAACACGUGGGCAACCUGCCUGUAAGACUGGGAUAACUUCGGGAAACCGGAGCUAAUACCGGAUAAUCCUUUUCUACUCAUGUAGAAAAGCUGAAAGACGGUUUACGCUGUCACUUACAGAUGGGCCCGCGGCGCAUUAGCUAGUUGGUGAGGUAACGGCUCACCAAGGCGACGAUGCGUAGCCGACCUGAGAGGGUGAUCGGCCACACUGGGACUGAGACACGGCCCAGACUCCUACGGGAGGCAGCAGUAGGGAAUCUUCCGCAAUGGACGAAAGUCUGACGGAGCAACGCCGCGUGAGUGAUGAAGGUUUUCGGAUCGUAAAACUCUGUUGUUAGGGAAGAACAAGUACGAGAGUAACUGCUCGUACCUUGACGGUACCUAACCAGAAAGCCACGGCUAACUACGUGCCAGCAGCCGCGGUAAUACGUAGGUGGCAAGCGUUGUCCGGAAUUAUUGGGCGUAAAGCGCGCGCAGGCGGUCCUUUAAGUCUGAUGUGAAAGCCCACGGCUCAACCGUGGAGGGUCAUUGGAAACUGGGGGACU
rnacentral:rRNA from 1 species